rfam:Felis catus isolate Cinnamon breed Abyssinian chromosome B3, whole genome shotgun sequence.
ACCUGGGUGGCUAAGUCGGUUAAGCGUCCGACUUCAGUUCAGGUCAUGAUCUCACAGUUUGUGGGUUCAAGCCCCACAUCAGGCU